rnacentral:tRNA from 1 species
GGGAAAGUGGCUCAGGGGUAGAGUGCUUGCCUUGCAUGCAGGAGACUCUGGGUUCGAUUCCUCAGCCCCA